UCAAACUAUAAUGAGGUGACCAGGCUGGU
rnacentral:piRNA from 1 species